UAUAGUGCCCUGAGGGUGCCCCCACCCUCAGGUACCCCCUCCCGCCCGGCUCUGGAAGGGGGAAAGGGGUUAAAACUUACCUUUUUCCAGCGCUGGGCGGGAGCUCUCCUCCUCCGAUCCUCCUCUUCUCCUCCCCGUCGGCUGAAUGCGCACGCGCGGCAAGAGUUGCGCGCGCAUUCAGCCGGUCACAUAGGAAAGCAUUCAUAAUGCUUUCCUAUGGACGCUGGCGUGCUCUCACUGUGAAAAUCACAGUGAGAAGCACGCAAGCGCCUCUAGCGGCUGUCAAUGAGACAGCCACUAGAG
rnacentral:lncRNA from 1 species